rnacentral:rRNA from 1 species
UAACGCCUACGGGAGGCAGCAGUAGGGAAUUUUCGUCAAUGGGCGCAAGCCUGAACGAGCAAUGCCGCGUGAACGAGGAAGGUCUUCAGAUCGUAAAGUUCUGUUGAAGGGGAAAAAGAGCGGAGAGAGGAAAUGAACUCCGAUUGAUAUUACCCUUCGAGGAAGUCACGGCUAACUACGUGCCAGCAGCCGCGGUAAUACGUAGGUGGCGAGCGUUAUCCGGAAUGAUUGGGCGUAAAGGGUGCGUAGGCGGCCUGCUAAGUCUGGAGUGAAAGGUACCGGCUCAACCGGUACA